UGCAUUCACUACUGUAAGUCGCUCUGGAUAAGAGUGUCUGGUAAAUGACUCAAA
rfam:Salmo salar isolate Sally breed double haploid chromosome ssa14, whole genome shotgun sequence.